rnacentral:rRNA from 1 species
CGGCGCGCUUAACACAUGCAAGUCGAGCGAGAACCGGGGCUUCGGCCCCGGGGACAGCGGCGAACGGGUGAGUAACACGUGGAUAACCUGCCCUCGGCACCGGGAUAGCCCGGGGAAACCCGGAUUAAUACCGGAUGGCCCUUCCGGCUCUCGAGCCGGUCGGAAAAGGUAGCUUCGGCCUCCGGCCGAGGAUGGGUCCGCGGCGGAUUAGCUUGUUGGUGGGGUAACGGCCCACCAAGGCGACGAUCCGUAGCUGGUCUGAGAGGACGAUCAGCCACACUGGGACUGAGACACGGCCCAGACUCCUACGGGAGGCAGCAGUGGGGAAUCUUGCGCAAUGGGCGAAAGCCUGACGCAGCGACGCCGCGUGAGGGAAGAAGGCCUUCGGGUUGUAAACCUCUUUUAAGAGGGAAGAAGCCACUCGGGUGAAUAGCCCAGAGGGUGACGGUACCUCUAGAAUAAGCCCCGGCUAACUACGUGCCAGCAGCCGCGGUAAUAC